AUACCUCCUAGCACAACGUCUCUCUCCAGGCCCCUCUAGCAGGGUGAUCCCUAGGUGUAUUCCUGAACCAGCUAGGGAUGCUCUGCACAAGAUAUAUGAGUGUGAAACAACAAGUACCCAGUUCCCUGCCUUCGAUUUCGUUUUCAAUGGAGCAGCCAGGAGACACAGAGUGUGAACUGGAAAGGCUGCUGAAAGGUGGCAGCAGGGAAGCACCAGAGCUGCCAGUUUUAACUUUCCACAAAUAACAGCAAGAACAUUGACAACGUAUUUCUGAGUGUGAAUCCAAAAUUCAGAUGCAUAUGGAUGGCCUCAUCUAGACCUUUUGACUCUCUGAGGGUUGUGGUCACCUGGGAUGUGGGCAGACAAGCGGUGUUGCAGGCAAUCCGCGGGGAAGUCCUUCAAACCACUGCGACCAGACACAGGUGCAGCCAAAUGAAGAGCUCAAGAUAAAUGGGGGAGAUGAUAUUUAAUGUAAGGCAGUUUGCAGUUUCCCUUGCAAAUAUGCUCAUCCUGUCACAUCUGAAUGCCAAAAACCAGUCUGGUGUUUGGUUUGGUAACAGAUCAGGAUGCAUGGCAGUAGCUACAUGUGUACUGCAAAACAGUGCUAAUCUAUAUUAUUAUUUCACGUGUAGACAUUUUCAUCAAGGCGCUUUUAUGAAGAAUAUGUAUUAUUCUAACCAUUUCACUCCUGGAAGAAGAGACUUUGGGUCUCAGAGCUAAUAGUGUAUCCUGGAGAGGACUCACAGCUCCUGACUCUCAGUUCAUUCUUCUACUCUGGAAAAAUCAGCGUUACAAAAGGCUGUCAAUAUGAUAGCUGAUAGAGCAAGCAAAUCAGAGAAUUUGUCAUUAAAAAUGCUUUACUUGAACAAGAGCUAAAUAUAUGUUCUUGCAAAGUGGAAAAACCUACUUUGAAAUAAACAGAACUACAGGCCUUUGCACCAGGAUAGAAUUUGUUACCAUGUUUCUGGACCCUAAUGUGUUUCUGUUUUACUUAAAGUUUUGCUGUGGUUACUGCUACAGCUCAAAAAUGCGAAUUAAGGUAACAAAAGCACCCCCAAAAGUCCUAGAGAUGCAGAGGUGCUGUGGGAUCUUAGAGGAAUAUUACUGCAGGCAUUUCUCUCAAACUAGUAAUUUAUUUUCAGUUGGACAGCUAGUGUAGGAAGAACAGAAAUGGUCUUUUUUUACAGACAGCUUUUACAAAACAUGAUGUUGAGUAGGAGUUGAGACUACUGGAAAAGUUGACUACACAUACAAGUUUAGCAUAA